rnacentral:lncRNA from 1 species
AAUAACUCGCCUUGAGCCGUUGGUCGGCGACGAACUGUUUGUUGUGCGCUGAAGUGAUGGGGAGGCGGAGUGGAGUGUAGCCGUGGGUUUGAGGUAUUGUUUUUGUCGAUUGAUUGUGAGCCCACUCACGGUCGAGUGGCGUGUGCUGUGGAGUCGCAUCAGAGGCAUUUGUAGAGCCCACUCACGGUCGAGUGGCGUGUCUUAGUUGGAUAUGGAGAUAUCUACACAGAGACGGUUAUCUAUUGCAACCAGGCCAGCAGAUUAUGAAACCAAAUUUUGGUUGUGGUUGUUUUCGAAUUGGUUGAGCAGUUCUAAGUUCUCAUAGCGUCAAUAGUUUGGAAGCUUUUUAUGAGACAUAGAUCCUUAAUCAUUGGCUUAUUUAUAGAAAUCUUCAAAUUUCAUCGUCGGAAUAAAAUUUCUGGUCUUUGGACUAUUCAUCACCGAUGAGGAAACAAGCUGCUAUGGAGAUUGUGACAGUGCGUUCAUACAUAGCUAAGCAGGCAUCUCUUGGUUAUAUCACCUUUUGGUUGAGGAAGCCAUUGUUGCGGAAAAAAUGCUAUGGAAGUUGGUCAGAAAUAACCAGUUUAUUUGGUUAGACGUGCUUUCUUUAUUUUGCUUUUGUUUUAUGCUCCUUUCAGCUUAUCUAUACCAUCUACUGAUGAGUGUAUGUGUUGAUGUGGCUUAAGCCAAAACUCUGUUUCUUUUACAAUUUGAAUAAAUCG